ACAAAGUGGGAGGUAAACUCCUUCUAAAGCUAAAUAUCACCACGAGACCGAUAGCGAACAAGUACCGUGAGGGAAAGUUGAAAAGCACUCUGAAUAGAGAGUCAAAAAGUACGUGAAACUGCCUAGGGCUCAAGCCCGUUGAACUCGAUUAUCCGAGCGGAGACAUUCACCUGCGGCCGGGCUUUGCCGCCCACGCUGCAGGGCACUUGUCUCCCGCGCUACACGAGGACAUUGCGAUCCAUUACGAAACAGCUUCUGCGUCGCAAGACGCAAGGUCGCCCGACAGUUGCCCCUUGGUGCCGGUUGCUUGCCCCACCGUAGCGACGCUCAGUUCCGAAGGCCUGUGCCGCGAGCUGGGGCUUACUGCACGUGGUGUUUGCAGUCGGGCGCGUGAUGGAUUCCAGCGUACACCGUCGGCCUUCCCGCAACGGGCCGGCGGACUGUCGAUCGGCAAUGAUAAAAUCGAGGUACCU
rnacentral:rRNA from 2 species